CCUGCUUUCUGUGGAGGGGAAGAGUGGGAGGAAGUCUUGGCUGAGGAGGACAGGGAGAGGAGGAACCCGGCAGCCAACCCACCUUCUGCACCAGGAGGUGCUCUUGUACGUAGGCGGCCACCGCAUCCCAGACGGCAACUCGCUCUGGAGGGCAAAGGAAAAGCGGGUCACACUCUGCACCUGCCGCUUCCCGGCAGCCCUCCCGCUGCCAGGCGGGAGUGAGGUGGCAGAUGGAAAGUGUCGUCUGCGUGCCAAGAUUGGCUGCAGCAGCGCUCCUGUGGUGGCUGUGGAGCCGUGUACCUUCGGUGUCGGUGCAGAUGCUCCUUCAGGAUGCAGGACCCACCAGCGUGCACCGCCUUCAUAC
ensembl:lncRNA